rnacentral:misc_RNA from 1 species
GCUCCUUUUUUUUUUUUCUUUGCUGUUUGAAUAAAGUGAGAUUGAUGCAAUCAGAAUUCAGAAGUCGUUAAACGGAUUUCCACUUAUCAAAUUUGUGUUGUUCCUAUGGCUGUUUUCAGUCCCACUUGUUCUUCUACUUCCCCACUUCUCUCCUUCAGAAACAACAUCUCUUUCUUCCCUUCACAUCGCCCUUCUUUUCCCGGAGUCCGGUGCACUCUCACAGUGAAAGCCACCGUCAGCGUCGAAUCUCCGUCGUCUUCCUCCACCGACUGCAGGGAUGACUCGCCCAAGGUCUUACUUGAAGUCCGGGACCUCUCCGCUGUCAUAGUCGAGUCAAAGCAGCAAAUUCUCAAUGGUGUUAACCUCACUGUCCGCCAAGGCGAGGUACAUGCUGUAAUGGGUAAGAAUGGUUCUGGAAAGAGCACCUUUGCCAAGGUUCUUGUUGGGCAUCCAGAUUAUGAAAUUACAGGAGGCAGUGUGUCAUUUAAAGGUGAGAAUCUACUUGAGAUGGAACCCGAGGAAAGAUCUCUUGCUGGUCUUUUCAUGAGCUUCCAGUCCCCAGUUGCCAUACCUGGAGUAAGCAAUAUUGACUUUCUUAACAUGGCGUAUAAUGCUCAAAGGAGGAAACUUGGACUGCCAGAACUGGGACCAAUUGAGUUUUACGGGUACAUUGCCCCGAAGCUUGAACUUGUCAACAUGAAGAUAGACUUCUUGAACAGAAAUGUAAAUGAAGGAUUCAGUGGUGGAGAAAGGAAACGCAAUGAGAUUCUGCAACUAGCGGUUCUCGGGGCUGACUUGGCAAUACUGGAUGAGAUUGAUUCUGGUUUAGAUGUUGACGCACUUCGAGACGUAGCAAAGGCAGUAAAUGGACUUCUAUCGCCAAAGAAUUCAGUGUUGAUGAUUACUCAUUACUUACGAUUAUUAGAAUUCAUCAAGCCGACGUAUAUCCAUAUCAUGGAGAAAGGGAGAAUCGUGAAGACUGGAGACAUAUCCAUAGCUAAAGUUCUGGAGAAAGAAGGGUACAAAGCAAUUUCUGGCCCAUAGAGCUGCCAUGAAGAAUGAUGAUUUUGUCUCAUCAGCUAGCUACUAGAGGAAAUAUUUCUACUGCUCCAACAUUAUUUAAGAAAGUGGCAAUUAGUGAUGCUUCCACUUUUCUCAUCAAAUGAUUCAAAAUAUCAGUGCUCAAUUGUCUCGAGAUUUAAGAGUAAGGAUAACUGUGUCCCCCUGAUGUGGGCAAAAUGACAAAUUUUGAUGACAUGGGGAAUGAGUCAUAUACUUGUAUUUUAUCCUGUCUUUUUUUUCUUCUAAAGAUUAGUUUUGUAUCGGGAAUUAUAGUAACUUAUUUGGUUGGUUGCUGUCUAAAUUCGGUGAGGGUUCGAUUCUCCACCUGUGCCUGAUGAUCUACU